CCUACGGGAGGCAGCAGUGAGGAAUAUUGGUCAAUGGGCGGGAGCCUGAACCAGCCAAGUCGCGUGAGGGAAGACGGUCCUAUGGAUUGUAAACCUCUUUAGGCGGGGAGCAAUGCCGGGCACGUGUGCCCGGAGGGAGAGUACCCGCAGAAUAAGCAUCGGCUAACUCCGUGCCAGCAGCCGCGGUAAUACGGGGGAUGCGAGCGUUAUCCGGAUUGAUUGGGUUAAAAGGGUGCGUAGGCGGAUUUUUAAGUCAGCGGUAAAAUGUCCGGGCUCAACCCGGGCCGGCCGUUGAAACUGGGGAUCUUGAGUGGGCGAGAAGUAUGCGGAAUGCGUGGUGUAGCGGUGAAAUGCAUAGAUAUCACGCAGAACUCCGAUUGCGAAGGCAGCAUACCGGCGCCCGACUGACGCUGAGGCACGAAAGCGUGGGGAUCGAACAGGAUUAGAUACCCGGGUAGUC
rnacentral:rRNA from 1 species